GCCUCUCUCCCUCAUUUCCUAACAUUUCCUCAUAGCUAGGUUAUGGCUCAGCAGAUUAUUACUCCAUCAUGUGGUUCAUUCAGAACAAGGCCCUCUCACCUACUCUCUUUCUCCCUAUUCCCAUCUGCUUCCUAUAAAAGGGACGCAGAGCCACCAGAGCAGCAGACAGGCUGAGACAGCCCAGAAACCUCCCGCUCUCAGCUGCAGCUCCCACGCUCACCCUCCAGCAUGAAGGGCUCCGCCGUCCUGCUGUGCCUGAUGCUCACAGCAGCCGCCUUCAGCGCCCAGGUGCUCGCUCAGCCGGCUUCAAGACCAGAGGGGGCAAGGAGAUCUGUAUUGACCCCAAGAAGAAGUGGGUGCAGAAUAUCACGAAAUACCUGGACAGAAGAAAACCAGAAAACACAAACACACUUAGAAGUUUUGAACACUCUUUCCUGCACUGAAGUCAAGCCAAUACCUGGGAAACAACUAAUUUGUAUUCUCUACCCUUUCAAAGAUGUGUUCUGAGAUUAUUUUAUUGUAAUUCUAAGGAAUAUGAACUUUGUGUAAUAAUAUGAAUCACUGCUUUUCUUAAGUAAUGUUUUGAUUUUUUUUACUUGUUAUAAUUUUAAUUUAAUGUGCCAUGGAAUUGGAUAGAUUUUAAAUGUAAACCCUUGGACAUCAUGAAGUGACAUCCUGUCCCCCCAAAACUGCAGGACCCUCCUCUUCUAUCUCAGUGUAGGACUGUGAAGGUCCUUUUGCAAAAAUCAAUGCAAAUACAGAUAUUUUUAAUUUUUAGGAAGUGAUUUCCACGUGAAAUCAUAAUGUUAUUAUAGAAAGGAAUGUUUUAUAUGUACCACUCUUUAAUUUUCACAUAGAAUAUAUUUGUGCAUAAAACCUGACUUUGAUGGCUUUUUUUAAAGGGUCAGAUAAAGCUGAUGAAAGUAAUAGGGGUUAGAGGAUUGGCUUCAGAAGGUGGGGUUCAUGUUCUGGAGGAAUGAAUACAGUUUGGACCCUGGGAUUGCCCCCAAGCUGGGCUCACUUGCAUGUCAAGGAGAGUCAGGUAGGUUGAAGUCAGCUUCAGCCAUUUACUCAAAUCCUUCCUGCCUUUCCAAAGUCAUUCCUUUUCUCACCAUCCCAUGCCCUGCACAAAAGUCUCCUCCCAUCUAUUGCACCAGCCUUCUAUUUCCCCGUUCCACCCCACUGUUGAAUGCAGAAUAACACAAACACUACUGAGAAAUCAGGAGGGGAUUGACAAAUGACCUCAUGCAUUCCCGUCCACAUCUAGAAACCAGGUGUCUUGAAAAUUUCUAUCUCUACAGGUUGAGGAACAGCAAGGAGGGUAAAAAUUCUGUACCCAAGGCAGGAUACUGACAAAACUUGGUAUCUGCAAGCUGAGCUUCUUGGAGGCAGUGGAUUUGUAUCAAAGGACCAGUAAAAAAUCUCAGGGUGUCAGGAGGAAUCAGACAUCUUGUGGCAAGCAGACAGUUUAUUGGUGACCAUUUGCUGCCAUCACUGGUGUCCAGGCCAGUUCCAAAAGCCCUUUCUGCCUCUCCUCCAGCCCAGCAGUCCUCAUUCCCAAAGACCAAUAAUGAGCCCAAACUCAGAUUCCAGUGGAGAACGGCUAGGGAUAGGAGGGGAAAUAGAUGCUAUAGAACAAGACACAGCAAACCCUCUGUUCCAGGCAUGUAUUACCAGAGUGUCAGGCAGUAGGACAGGCAAGGGGAGAUGGGCUCCAGGUGCCCAAGAUCAAGCAGAAUCUGCCCACACUCUCUUUGUCAAGCAAUGUCUUUUCAUUUUUAAAGAAUUCUAAACUCAUUUGUUCUCAUGAAGGUCUGGAAUCUCUAGUCCCCUUCAGGCACAGAGUGUUAGAGAGAAAUUCCAAACUGCAACCGGGAAUAGUCUGAUACAUAACUGGGCAUAGAGUUUAAUGGGACUCAAAGAUUAAACUGGUUUUACCACUAAUGUGCCUGGUAAAUUUGGGUGAGUUGCUUUUCCUGAGUGGAGAGUCACAGUAGGUCAGUGUUAAUGAGACCCACGGAGCUGGUCUCAUAUUGUCAUCAACACCAAUUAGACACUGAAGAAAACAUGG